rnacentral:lncRNA from 1 species
CUUUUCUUUGCUGGAUCUGGAGGCAUGGGUAGCAAGAAACUAAAACGAGUGGGUUUAUCACAAGAGCUGUGUGACCGUCUGAGUAGACAUCAGAUCCUUACCUGUCAGGACUUUUUAUGUCUUUCCCCACUGGAGCUUAUGAAGGUGACUGGUCUGAGUUAUCGAGGUGUCCAUGAACUUCUAUGUAUGGUCAGCAGGGCCUGUGCCCCAAAGAUGCAAACGGCUUAUGGGAUAAAAGCACAAAGGUCU